ensembl:lncRNA
AUGGGCAGGAGUUUGGGAUUGUGGGCAGGAGUUUGGGAUUAUGAACAGGAUCCCAAAAUUAUGGGCAGGAAUUUGGGAUUGUGGGCAGGAGUUUGGGAUUUUGGGCAGGAUCCCAAAAUUAUGGGCAGGAAUUUGGGAUUUUGGGCAGGAGUUUGGGAUUGUGGGCAGGAUCCCAAAAUUAUGGGCAGGAGUUUGGGAUCAUGGAAAGGAGUUUGGGAUUUUGGGCAGGAAUUUGGGAUUGUGGGCAGGAUCCCAAAAUUACAGGCAGGAAUUUGGGAUUGUGGGCAGGAGCCCAAAAUUAUGGGUAAGAGUUUGGGAUUGUGGGCAGGAGUUUGGGAUUGUGGGCAGGAUCCCAAAAUUAUGGGUAAAAGUUUGGGAUCAUGGAAAGGAGUUUGGGAUUUUGGGCAGGAGUUUGGGGUUAUGGACAGGAUCCCAAAAUUAUGGACAGGAAUUGGGGUUAUGGACAGGAGCCCAAAAUUAUGGGCAGGAUCCCAAAAUUAUGGGCAGGAAUUUGGGAUUGUGGGCAGGAGUUUGGGAUUGUGGGCAGGAGUUUGGGAUUGUGGGCAGGAGUUUGGGAUUGUGGGCAGGAGCCCAAAAUUAUGGGCAGGAAUUUGGGAUUAUGGGCAGGAUCCCAAAAUUAUGGGUAAGAGUUUGGGAUCAGGGAAAGGAGUUUGGGGUUAUGGGCAGGAAUUUGGGAUUUUGGGCAGGAGUUCGGGAUUGUGGACAGGAGCCCAAAAUUAUGGACAGGAAUUUGGGAUUGUGAGCAGGAUCCCAAAAUUAUGGGCAGGAUCCCAAAAUUAUGGGCAGGAAUUUGGGAUUUUGGGCAGGAGUUUGGGAUUUUGGGCAGGAGCCCAAAAUUAUGGGACAGGAGUCUGGAUUUAUGGGCAGGAGCCCAGAAUGAAGAACAGGAGCCCAAAGUUAUGGACAGGAAUUUGGGAUUAGGGACAGGAACCCAGAAUCAAGGACAAGACUCUGGAAUUAUUAAUAGGAGCCCAGAAUUAAGGACAGGAUCUGGGAUUAGGGCCAGGAGUCUGGGAUUAAGGACAGGAACCCACAAUUAAGGACAGGACUCUGGGAUUAUGAACAGGAACCCAGAAUUAAGAACAUGAGUUUGGGAUUAGGAACAGGAACCCAGAAUCAAGGACAGGACUCUUCUGCAUUGCCAGGGAAAUGGAGACGUCCUGGUCAUUUUGGCGUUUCUUUUUCCUGACAAAUCCAUUCACUCCAACGGCAAUGGGAAUUUUGACAUCAUUAAAAAAGCAGCACAAAGUUAAAUUCCUGGACAGUUUUGGCCAUUCCUCCCUAAUUCCCCGUUUGGGUUUUUGCAGCAAAGGUGGUGUGAAAAGGAAUUAAUGUUCCCGCACUAAAAGGGAGAAAAUCCCAAAUCUGCCAGGCUGCCGUGUAAUCCCAUUUGAGGAAAUGUGGAAAUCGUUACAAAAACACCGAGAGGGCUGAGUCACAUGCACAGCAUGGAAAAUUUGAUCCCGAAUGUUUACAAAUUGCAAGCUUUUCAUGCUGUGUGGGGUAAACUUCACUAAGCUGCAAAAAAUUCCAGUUCUGCUGCGGGGAUGAAAGGGGAAAAUCCCGUUAAAUAUCGAGAAAAGGGUUUGGGGAAAUAUUCCCAAAAAAAAAAAAAAAGCAGAAUUUUCCCAGAGGUCACCACGCUGUCUGUGGUGGCACCCAAAGGGUGGGUGGCAUCACAGAGCCACGGAGGGGUCACCCCUGGUGUGCCAAAGUUCAUUGGCAUUGGCAUUGGCAUUGAUAUUGUCACCGCCACUGCCAUAGUCAAUGCCAUUGCCAUUGCCACUCCCAUUGCCAUUUCCAGUGCCAUCCUCAUUAUCAUUCCUAUUGCCACUGCCAUUGUCAUUGCCAGUGCCACUCCCAUUGCCAUUCCCAUUGCCAUUGUCAUUGUCAUUGCCAUUGCCAUUGCCAUUCCCAUGCC